UGUGAGCUCGAUGAGUAGGGCGGGACACGUGGUAUCCUGUCUGAAUAUGGGGGGACCAUCCUCCAAGGCUAAAUACUCCUGACUGACCGAUAGUGAACCAGUACCGUGAGGGAAAGGCGAAAAGAACCCCGGCGAGGGGAGUGAAAAAGAACCUGAAACCGUGUACGUACAAGCAGUGGGAGCACGCUUAGGCGUGUGACUGCGUACCUUUUGUAUAAUGGGUCAGCGACUUAUAUUCUGUAGCAAGGUUAACCGAAUAGGGGAGCCGAAGGGAAACCGAGUCUUAACUGGGCGUUAAGUUGCAGGGUAUAGACCCGAAACCCGGUGAUCUAGCCAUGGGCAGGUUGAAGGUUGGGUAACACUAACUGGAGGACCGAACCGACUAAUGUUGAAAAAUUAGCGGAUGACUUGUGGCUGGGGGUGAAAGGCCAAUCAAACCGGGAGAUAGCUGGUUCUCCCCGAAAGCUAUUUAGGUAGCGCCUCGUGAAUUCAUCUCCGGGGGUAGAGCACUGUUUCGGCAAGGGGGUCAUCCCGACUUACCAACCCGAUGCAAACUGCGAAUACCGGAGAAUGUUAUCACGGGAGACACACGGCGGGUGCUAACGUCCGUCGUGAAGAGGGAAACAACCCAGACCGCCAGCUAAGGUCCCAAAGUCAUGGUUAAGUGGGAAACGAUGUGGGAAGGCCCAGACAGCCAGGAUGUUGGCUUAGAAGCAGCCAUCAUUUAAAGAAAGCGUAAUAGCUCACUGGUCGAGUCGGCCUGCGCGGAAGAUGUAACGGGGCUAAACCAUGCACCGAAGCUGCGGCAGCGACGCUUAUGCGUUGUUGGGUAGGGGAGCGUUCUGUAAGCCUGUGAAGGUGUGCUGUGAGGCAUGCUGGAGGUAUCAGAAGUGCGAAUGCUGACAUAAGUAACGAUAAAGCGGGUGAAAAGCCCGCUCGCCGGAAGACCAAGGGUUCCUGUCCAACGUUAAUCGGGGCAGGGUGAGUCGACCCCUAAGGCGAGGCCGAAAGGCGUAGUCGAUGGGAAACAGGUUAAUAUUCCUGUACUUGGUGUUACUGCGAAGGGGGGACGGAGAAGGCUAUGUUGGCCGGGCGACGGUUGUCCCGGUUUAAGCGUGUAGGCUGGUUUUCCAGGCAAAUCCGGAAAAUCAAGGCUGAGGCGUGAUGACGAGGCACUACGGUGCUGAAGCAACAAAUGCCCUGCUUCCAGGAAAAGCCUCUAAGCAUCAGGUAACAUCAAAUCGUACCCCAAACCGACACAGGUGGUCAGGUAGAGAAUACCAAGGCGCUUGAGAGAACUCGGGUGAAGGAACUAGGCAAAAUGGUGCCGUAACUUCGGGAGAAGGCACGCUGAUAUGUAGGUGAAGUCCCUCGCGGAUGGAGCUGAAAUCAGUCGAAGAUACCAGCUGGCUGCAACUGUUUAUUAAAAACACAGCACUGUGCAAACACGAAAGUGGACGUAUACGGUGUGACGCCUGCCCGGUGCCGGAAGGUUAAUUGAUGGGGUUAGCGCAAGCGAAGCUCUUGAUCGAAGCCCCGGUAAACGGCGGCCGUAACUAUAACGGUCCUAAGGUAGCGAAAUUCCUUGUCGGGUAAGUUCCGACCUGCACGAAUGGCGUAAUGAUGGCCAGGCUGUCUCCACCCGAGACUCAGUGAAAUUGAACUCGCUGUGAAGAUGCAGUGUACCCGCGGCAAGACGGAAAGACCCCGUGAACCUUUACUAUAGCUUGACACUGAACAUUGAGCCUUGAUGUGUAGGAUAGGUGGGAGGCUUGGAAGUGUGGACGCCAGUCUGCAUGGAGCCGACCUUGAAAUACCACCCUUUAAUGUUUGAUGUUCUAACGUUGACCCGUAAUCCGGGUUGCGGACAGUGUCUGGUGGGUAGUUUGACUGGGGCGGUCUCCUCCUAAAGAGUAACGGAGGAGCACGAAGGUUGGCUAAUCCUGGUCGGACAUCAGGAGGUUAGUGCAAUGGCAUAAGCCAGCUUGACUGCGAGCGUGACGGCGCGAGCAGGUGCGAAAGCAGGUCAUAGUGAUCCGGUGGUUCUGAAUGGAAGGGCCAUCGCUCAACGGAUAAAAGGUACUCCGGGGAUAACAGGCUGAUACCGCCCAAGAGUUCAUAUCGACGGCGGUGUUUGGCACCUCGAUGUCGGCUCAUCACAUCCUGGGGCUGAAGUAGGUCCCAAGGGUAUGGCUGUUCGCCAUUUAAAGUGGUACGCGAGCUGGGUUUAGAACGUCGUGAGACAGUUCGGUCCCUAUCUGCCGUGGGCGCUGGAGAACUGAGGGGGGCUGCUCCUAGUACGAGAGGACCGGAGUGGACGCAUCACUGGUGUUCGGGUUGUCAUGCCAAUGGCACUGCCCGGUAGCUAAAUGCGGAAGAGAUAAGUGCUGAAAGCAUCUAAGCACGAAACUUGCCCCGAGAUGAGUUCUCCCUGACCCUUUAAGGGUCCUGAAGGAACGUUGAAGACGACGACGUUGAUAGGCCGGGUGUGUAAGCGCAGCGAUGCGUUGAGCUAACCGGUACUAAUGAACCGUGAGGCUUAACCUUACAACGCCGAAGCUGUU
rnacentral:rRNA from 1 species